GUAGAGUUUGAUCCUGGCUCAGAUUGAACGCUGGCGGCAUGCCUAAUACAUGCAAGUCGAACGGUAACAUGCCCUUCGGGGUGAUGACGAGUGGCGGACGGGUGAGUAAUACAUAGGAAUCUGCCUUGUAGUGGGGAACAACUUGGGGAAACUCAAGCUAAUACCGCAUAAGUCUUUUUUAACGAAAAGGGAAAGAGGGCCUCUUCAUGAAUGCUCUCGCUACUAGAUGAGCCUAUGUCAGAUUAGCUAGUUGGUAAGGUAAUGGCUUACCAAGGCGACGAUCUGUAGCUGGUCUGAGAGGACGAUCAGCCACACUGGGACUGUGACACGGCCCAGACUCCUACGGGAGGCAGCAGUAGGGAAUAUUGGACAAUGGGCGAAAGCCUGAUCCAGCAAUGCCGCGUGUGUGAAGAAGGCCUGCGGGUUGUAAAGCACUUUCAAUUGGGAAGAAAAGUUCUUGGCUAAUAAUCAAGUGCCUUGACGUUACCAAUAGAAGAAGCACCGGCUAACUCUGUGCCAGCAGCCGCGGUAAUACAGAGGGUGCGAGCGUUAAUCGGAAUUACUGGGCGUAAAGCGUGCGUAGGUGGCUAUGUAAGUCAGAUGUGAAAGCCCAAGGCUUAACCUUGGAAUUGCAUUUGAUACUGCUUAGCUAGAGUACAGUAAAGGGAAGCGGAAUUCCUAGUGUAGCGGUGAAAUGCGUAGAUAUUAGGAGGAACACCAGUGGCGAAGGCGGCUUCCUAGACUGAUACUGACACUGAGGUACGAAAGCGUGGGGAGCAAACAGGAUUAGAUACCCUGGUAGUCCACGCCCUAAACGAUGAGAACUAGACGUUGGAAGGGUAUACCUUUCAGUGUCGUAGCUAACGCGAUAAGUUCUCCGCCUG
rnacentral:rRNA from 1 species